rnacentral:rRNA from 1 species
UACGUAGGGUGCGAGCGUUAAUCGGAAUUACUGGGCGUAAAGGGCGCGUAGGCGGUGCUCUAAGUCAGGCGUGAAAGCCCUGGGCUCAACCCGGGAAUUGCGCUUGAUACUGGGGCGCUUGAAUCCAGGAGAGGUUGGUGGAAUUCCCAGUGUAGAGGUGAAAUUCGUAGAGAUUGGGAAGAACACCGGUGGCGAAGGCGGC